rnacentral:rRNA from 1 species
GAUGACGCUGCGGCGUGCUAAUACAUGCAAGUCGAACGCUUUGUGGUUCAACUGAUUUGAAGAGCUUGCUCAGAUAUGACGAUGGACAUUGCAAAGAGUGGCGAACGGGUGAGUAACACGUGGGAAACCUACCUCUUAGCAGGGGAUAACAUUUGGAAACAGAUGCUAAUACCGUAUAACAAUGACAACCGCAUGGUUGUUAUUUAAAAGAUGGUUCUGCUAUCACUAAGAGAUGGUCCCGCGGUGCAUUAGCUAGUUGGUAAGGUAAUGGCUUACCAAGGCGAUGAUGCAUAGCCGAGUUGAGAGACUGAUCGGCCACAAUGGGACUGAGACACGGCCCAUACUCCUACGGGAGGCAGCAGUAGGGAAUCUUCCACAAUGGGCGAAAGCCUGAUGGAGCAACGCCGCGUGUGUGAUGAAGGGUUUCGGCUCGUAAAACACUGUUGUAAGAGAAGAAUGACAUUGAGAGUAACUGUUCAAUGUGUGACGGUAUCUUACCAGAAAGGAACGGCUAAAUACGUGCCAGCAGCCGCGGUAAUACGUAUGUUCCAAGCGUUAUCCGGAUUUAUUGGGCGUAAAGCGAGCGCAGACGGUUAUUUAAGUCUGAAGUGAAAGCCCUCAGCUCAACUGAGGAAUUGCUUUGGAAACUGGAUGACUUGAGUGCAGUAGAGGAAAGUGGAACUCCAUGUGUAGCGGUGAAAUGCGUAGAUAUAUGGAAGAACACCAGUGGCGAAGGCGGCUUUCUGGACUGUAACUGACGUUGAGGCUCGAAAGUGUGGGUAGCAAACAGGAUUAGAUACCCUGGUAGUCCACACCGUAAACGAUGAGUGCUAGGUGUUUGAGGGUUUCCGCCCUUAAGUGCCGCAGCUAACGCAUUAAGCACUCCGCCUGGGGAGUACGACCGCAAGGUUGAAACUCAAAGGAAUUGACGGGGACCCGCACAAGCGGUGGAGCAUGUGGUUUAAUUCGAAGCAACGCGAAGAACCUUACCAGGUCUUGACAUCCCUUGACAACUCCAGAGAUGGAGCGUUCCCUUCGGGGACAAGGUGACAGGUGGUGCAUGGUUGUCGUCAGCUCGUGUCGUGAGAUGUUGGGUUAAGUCCCGCAACGAGCGCAACCCUUAUUACUAGUUGCCAGCAUUCAGUUGGGCACUCUAGUGAGACUGCCGGUGACAAACCGGAGGAAGGUGGGGAUGACGUCAAAUCAUCAUGCCCCUUAUGACCUGGGCUACACACGUGCUACAAUGGCGUAUACAACGAGUUGCCAACCCGCGAGGGUGAGCUAAUCUCUUAAAGUACGUCUCAGUUCGGAUUGUAGGCUGCAACUCGCCUACAUGAAGUCGGAAUCGCUAGUAAUCGCGGAUCAGCACGCCGCGGUGAAUACGUUCCCGGGUCUUGUACACACCGCCCGUCACACCAUGAGAGUUUGUAACACCCAAAGCCGGUGGGGGUAACCUUCGGGAGCCAGCCGUCUAAGUG